rnacentral:lncRNA from 1 species
AUGAGUUCGAGGCUAGCCUGAAUUACAGCUUCUGCUCAGGUCAAAAGCAGGAUGCAGCCAUUUCCCCAAACCACUGCAUGGGGUGUGGAGCACAUUCAAGCUGGUUCCUUUCUCUCAAGGCUCAGAGCCAGAAGAGACUGCUCUCACAGGCUUGGUCUCAGGCGGGCAGAAGCGACCUCCUCCUACUUCCAUUCCCUCCCUCCGGUAUCUUUCACUCAGGACAUCACAAUCCAAGAAGUCUUGAUGACUCUGACAGAUGUCUGGUCUGACCAGAAGAGAAACUGGGAAUAAUCAUGCUUGCUACUUGCUACCUAUGCCAUUUUGAGAGGAAAGAGGGACAUCUGAGCCAUGUGAGUAAGUACAUGGGUUCCCUCCCUCCCUCCCUCUCUACCUCUCUCCCUCCCUCUCUCCUUUCCUCCCUCCCUCUCUCCUUUCCUCCCUCCCUCUCUCCUUUCCUCCCUCUCUCCCUCCCUCCCUCCCUCCC